CUGCUUGAGAAACUGAGGCAUUAAAGCAGCAAAGGAGGCUGAAGCUCUCUGCGGUGCUGUCCUGGAUGGUGGUCUCUGUGAUGCCUAUACUGCAGGCUCUGAUCAUAACCAAAAGAAAACUUUCAGGCAAAAGACCUUUCUUCAAAAGGUUACUCUUCCUGUGAGAGAAAGGUCCCUGUUUGCAGAAGAACGACUGCCAAGGACCUGAAGUGUUUCAUCAGCUCCCUGCACGGGAUCGCUGCUGAUAAACUCAUCAGACCUUUCAGAUGCAGCAUCUUUUUCUGACAACCUGCUGCAAUUUAUUUUCCUGAAUAUGGUUGCACAGAUGAUGGAAUGUCACGGAUUGCCUAGUGAAAACCUGAGGAAGCAUCAGGGUUAAGUUUCUGCUUGUGAGUUUACCAGCAACCUCUGUCCAGUGGCAAGAUGUGAGUAUAUAAAUUCCAAUUGCUCCCCUUUGCAUCCCGCAAAGGAAAUGAAAUUAAAUAAUUGGCAUCAGAUUGAACACCUGUGGCAUGUAAAAGAUGAUUAUUCAAAUAACUGUAUUAACUUUGUGUAAUCAGGAUUCCCUUUCCCUGGGUUUGGAAAUUCACCUACAGCGGUACU